rnacentral:rRNA from 1 species
GCCAGACUCCUACGGGAGGCAGCAGUGGGGAAUAUUGCACAAUGGGGGAAACCCUGAUGCAGCGACGCCGCGUGAGUGAAGAAGUAUUUCGGUAUGUAAAGCUCUCUCAGCAGGGAAGAAAAUGACAGUACCUGACCAAGAAGCCCCGGCUAACUACGUGCCAGCAGCCGCGGUAAUACGUAGGGGGCAAGCGUUAUCCGGAUUUACUGGGUGUAAAGGGAGCGUAGACGGCAAUACAAGUCGGAAGUGAAAUACCCGGGCUUAACCUGGGAACUGCUUUGGAAACUGUAUGGCUGGAGUGCUGGAGAGGUAAGCGGAAUUCCUAGUGUAGCGGUGAAAUGCGUAGAUAUUAGGAGGAACACCAGUGGCGAAGGCGGCUUACUGGACAGUAACUGACGUUGAGGCUCGAAAGCGUGGGGAGCAAACAGGAUUAGAUACCCCCGUAA